rnacentral:rRNA from 1 species
UUUAUGGAGAGUUUGAUCCUGGCUCAGGAUGAACGCUGGCGGCGUGCCUAAUACAUGCAAGUCGAGCGAACGGACGAGAAGCUUGCUUCUCUGAUGUUAGCGGCGGACGGGUGAGUGACACGUGGAUAACCUACCUAUAAGACUGGGAUAACUUCGGGAAACCGGAGCUAAU